CUAGAAUUAGCAUUGUAUUUUUGUCACAAUUGAGUGUGGCCAACUAAAGAAAUUCCUUGAUUGUGAGCUAGGCAGAGCUAGUUUUAAAAGAAUUAUUAUUUCAGGUAACAUACAUGUUUGUAAGUUUUAAUUGCAAAUUUUAGAAAGCUUUGAAAGUUUAAAACGGCUCUUCCUACUCAGUUAAAUAAUCCGAUUUGUACUGAGUGAUUUGUUUCUUUUUUUUGGUCUGCGCUUAGUGGCCCGUAACACAUAGAUGAUUCACAAUGAAAUAAUAGAAGCAUUCACAAUAAUAAACUAAAUAAAUUGCUAUUCAAAAUUAAUUGCUUGGUAAUGAUUUCUUUAGGUAUAUUAAAAAAAAAACGCUCUGUUAUAUCAAGUUUUAAGAAUUUUAAUUAAAUUCAUCAUGAAAGAUCUCCCCCAUAUAUUUUAAAUAUUAUUAAAUUGUGAUCAAACAAACAUUGUUUUCCUAAAUAGCUAAAUAUCAUCGUCAGGUUUUUUAAAUUGAUAAAAUUUAAAUAAUGUAAAAAAGAAAGUACUUUUUUGCUUUGAUAGAAGUUUUAUAAAAAGUAAUUAAAGUAAGUUGAUUAUUUUUAACUCGACCUUAUUUAUUUAAUAUUGUUGUUUUUAAUUCAAGCUCGAGGUCUUUCUGUUUUUUCUCUUUUCUUUAUUAUUUAUGUAUCGAUAUUUCGCAUUUAAAUGAAAUGCUUUUUCAAGAUAUGAUCUACAACAAAUUACAUUUAUUUUUAAACUAUUGACAUCACUGUUUCUAUUUGUUAUUUAACUAACAUAUAUAUAUAAAUGAGAAACAAAACACAAACAAAAACUAUGCGACCGUCUUCAACAAUUGUUGUCUGCUUUGCUACUGUCUUGUAGUUUCUCUUAUUGGACUUUGUUCAGUCGUUGUACCAACAGUCUAUAGUUGCUCGCGCAUCCCUAUAUGUAUGCUUUGUAAUUCAUUCGUUUUGUUGUUGUCGUGUUGAUGAUGUGUAGCAUUUCUAAUGUUAGUCUCUUGUUGUAAUUUAUCUCGUUAUCUAUGAUUUUUACUCUCUCCAAGUCUGGCCUCUAAGUUAUGCCCUGCCAGUCUAUCAAAAAACGGCAUUAGCAGAAUACUGUGCAACAGAACAUCAUGAGCCAGGCUUAGAGAGAGUAAGAAUAAUAGAUAACGAGAUAAAUUACAACAAGAGACUAACACUAGAAACGCUAAACAUCAUCAACAAGACAACAACAAAACGCAUGAAAUACAAAGCAGACACAUAGGGAUGCGCGAGACUGUUGUAGACUGUUGGUACAACGACUGAACAAAGUCCAAUAAGAGAAACUACAAGACAGUAGCAAAGCAGACAACGACUGUUGAAGACGGUCGCAUAAAGUUUUUGUUUGUGUUUUGUUUCUCAUUUAGAUAUAUCAUAUCUUGAAAAUGCAUUUCAUUCAAAUGCGAAAUAUCGAUACAUAAAUAAUAAAGAAAAGAGAAAAAAGAGAAAGACCUCGAGCUUAAAUUAAAAACAACAAUAGUAAUUUAAUUAAAAAUGCUUUAAUAAAAUUAUGUCUGAAUUCUGCUUAUUAGCAGUGAUUAAAGCAAAAUUCUUUUUUGUAAUGUCCCACUAUUAAAGCUAAAAAUAUGAUUUGACAAAAUAAAAAAGAACUAAGACAGUUUACACAUUUUGUCUGAGUAGUGUAUGAAUUUUAAUUCACAUUUUAAAUGGAAUCAAAACAUCGAUUUCGGCACUAAAAAAACACACACACACAACAGCAAAAUCAAGCUCCUAUUAAAAUAAUAAAAUUCAAACUAUAAAUAAUAGCUAACAACAACAUGCGCAUACAUUAGAAAUAAAACACCAGCAAAUGCAAAUAUUCACCUAUUAUUCUCACUC